UGGGGAAUCUUGCGCAAUGGGCGAAAGCCUGACGCAGCGACGCCGCGUGCGGGAAGAAGGCCCUAGGGUUGUAAACCGCUUUCAGGAGGGACGAAGCCACUCGGGUGAACAGCCCAGAGGGUGACGGUACCUCCAGAAGAAGCCCCGGCUAACUACGUGCCAGCAGCCGCGGUAAUACGUAGGGGGCAAGCGUUGUCCGGAUUCAUUGGGCGUAAAGAGCGUGUAGGCGGCCAGGUAGGUCGGUUGUGAAAACUGGAGGCUCAACCUUCAGAGGUCGACCGAAACCAUCUGGCUAGAGUCCGGGAGAGGAGAGUGGAAUUCCUGGUAUAGCGGUGAAAUGCGCAGAUAUCAGGAAGAACACCCGUGGCGAAAGCGGCUCUCUGGAACGGCACUGACGCUGAGACGCGAAAGCGUGGGGAGCGAACAGGAUUAGAUACCCUGGUAGUCCACGCCGUAAACGAUGGGCGCUAGGUGUGGGAGGUGUCGACUCCUCCCGUGCCGCAGCUAACGCAUUAAGCGCCCCGCCUGGGGAGUACGGCCGCAAGGCUAA
rnacentral:rRNA from 1 species